rnacentral:rRNA from 1 species
GAUUAAGUUAUUAAGGGCGCACAGGAUGGAUGCCUUGGCACUAGAAGCCGAUGAAGACGUUACUAACGACGAUAUGCUUUGGGGAGCUGUAAGUAAGCUUUGAUCCAGAGAUUUCCGAAUGGGGAAACCCAGCAUGAGUUAUGUCAUGUUAUCGAUAUGUGAAUACAUAGCAUAUCAGAAGGCACACCCG